UGGCUGGUUAAAUUUAAAUUUCUGAUAAACACUGAAUCAUUUCGUAGUGUAAGUAUGUCUCAUGCAAUAUUUGGGACAUACUUAUAUUAAAACAUGAUUCAUUGUACAGCUGAAAUUCACAGUGAACUGAAGG
rnacentral:miRNA from 14 species